rnacentral:rRNA from 1 species
GGGUCAGUAGGCUGGUCGUGCCACCGGUACGUACUGUUCUCACUGAUUCCUCCUUCCUGAACAACCGUAAUGCCAUUAAUUUGGUGUUGCGGGGAAACAGGACUGUUACUUUGAAAAAAUUAGAGUGUUUAAAGCAAGCUAACGCUUGAAUACAUUAUCAUGGAAUAAUGAAAUAGGACGAUCGAUCCUAUUUUGUUGGUUUCUAGGAUUGACGUA